rnacentral:misc_RNA from 1 species
GAAAAUGAGAGAGGAUAUAAAUUUUUAGUUAUAUUUUCUUUAGAUUUGAUUUAUGAUAGAUUAAAAAUAAUAAUAUCUACAUUUCACGUACAAAAUAGGUAAAUUCUACUAUGUAUUCUAUGUCAUAUUUCAUGAUUAAAUUAUCUAGACCAAAAAUUUUCUAGAUUACAGGUAUAUAUAAUGACCUAGUAACAAAAAUUUCUAGAUCUGUCCCUAUCCCUCAGUCCCUCUUAUCAUACCCUUUUUGUUAUAACGUUUAAAUAUUGAUUAC